CUUGAAAUUUGAGCCACUCAUGUUGAGCCAUUUGAUUGACUAUUUAUUUUUAUUUUUUAUAUUUUCUUGUUAGGUGAUGAUGGCAAGGACCAUGAGGAUACAUGCAUGACUUCAAAGGAACAUGAGAGCUACUAUAGAUCAGCCACUGUAGCGCAACAGCUGUUGCACGCCUUAUGUGGAUAUUUCUUUUUUCUUUUUUCGCACGUUUUGAAGACCUACCCUUUACGAUUUCAAAUUUCAACCAAUUUGAAGCCUGCGUAGCCACCUUCUCUACCUAGCACCCUGCGAUGACGUCGCCCCUUCCUCUGCCCAGCACCUGCCUCGUGGCUCCUCCCACUGCCCAGCGCUGCGACUUCCUUUGCCCAGAGUCGCUCCUCCCUCUUCCCAGCUCCUCCUUCCCUCUGUUCACCUACUCUUUCAUGGGAGUGGGCAUUAUCUUGUGUUGCAUUACUCUUAUAGGUUGCAUUUCUGCCGAAAUAAUUCAUGGUUGUGUUAUGUGCCCAGAGUUGCCCGAGUAAUUCCUGGCACAGCUCUAAGUCCUUUAAAGCAAGAAGCCUAGGCUCACAAGAAGAUCUUUGCCCGUGAAUCUCUUCUGAUACUUGUGAAUAAGAAGUCAAUUAUGUAUAUAAUAUAUACAAGCUCAAUUUGGUAGCUUUUUUUCCUGACUUUUUUUUGGAGUAUUGUUUAGUUUGAGCCAAGAUUCAACACUGGAAUUGAUGGCUUAUAAUCUGGGUUUUGGUGCAUUCUACCCUGCCCUUGGAUGUAAUAUUUCUUGUACACGUUUUGGAUUACUUCUACAGAUUUGAUGAAUGUAAUUUUUCUUGUAAUGUAUUUGCGUAUGCUAGGUGUUGAAAGUGACUGAAUACAUAUUGACCUUUGAGACUAUAUUAUAUCUUACAAAGCAAAAACUAGAGAAUAUGGAAUGCA